rnacentral:rRNA from 1 species
AGAUUGAACGCUGGCGGCAUGCCUUACACAUGCAAGUCGAACGGCAGCACGGGAGCAAUCCUGGUGGCGAGUGGCGAACGGGUGAGUAAUACAUCGGAACGUGCCCAAUCGUGGGGGGAUAACGCAGCGAAAGCUGUGCUAAUACCGCAUAAGAUCUACGGAUGAAAGCAGGGGAUCGCAAGACCUUGCGCGAAUGGAGCGGCCGAUGGCAGAUUAGGUAGUUGGUGAGGUAAAGGCUCACCAAGCCUUCGAUCUGUAGCUGGUCUGAGAGG